rnacentral:rRNA from 1 species
CAGGCUUAACACAUGCAAGUCGAGGGGCAUCAGGAAGAAAGCUUGCUUUCUUUGCUGGCGACCGGCGCACGGGUGAGUAACACGUAUCCAACCUGCCCUUUACUCGGGGAUAGCCUUUCGAAAGAAAGAUUAAUACCCGAUAGCAUAAUGAUUCCGCAUGGUUUCAUUAUUAAAGGAUUCCGGUAAAGGAUGGGGAUGCGUUCCAUUAGGUUGUUGGUGAGGUAACGGCCCACCAAGCCUUCGAUGGAUAGGGGUUCUGAGAGGAAGGUCCCCCACAUUGGAACUGAGACACGGUCCAAACUCCUACGGGAGGCAGCAGUGAGGAAUAUUGGUCAAUGGGCGCUAGCCUGAACCAGCCAAGUAGCGUGAAGGAUGAAGGCUCUAUGGGUCGUAAACUUCUUUUAUAUAAGAAUAAAGUGCAGUAUGUAUACUGUUUUGUAUGUAUUAUAUGAAUAAGGAUCGGCUAACUCCGUGCCAGCAGCCGCGGUAAUACGGAGGAUCCGAGCGUUAUCCGGAUUUAUUGGGUUUAAAGGGAGCGUAGGUGGACUGGUAAGUCAGUUGUGAAAGUUUGCGGCUCAACCGUAAAAUUGCAGUUGAUACUGUCAGUCUUGAGUACAGUAGAGGUGGGCGGAAUUCGUGGUGUAGCGGUGAAAUGCUUAGAUAUCACGAAGAACUCCGAUUGCGAAGGCAGCUCACUGGACUGCAACUGACACUGAUGCUCGAAAGUGUGGGUAUCAAACAGGAUUAGAUACCCUGGUAGUCCACACAGUAAACGAUGAAUACUCGCUGUUUGCGAUAUACAGUAAGCGGCCAAGCGAAAGCAUUAAGUAUUCCACCUGGGGAGUACGCCGGCAACGGUGAAACUCAAAGGAAUUGACGGGGGCCCGCACAAGCGGAGGAACAUGUGGUUUAAUUCGAUGAUACGCGAGGAACCUUACCCGGGCUUAAAUUGCAGUGGAAUGAUGUGGAAACAUGUCAGUGAGCAAUCACCGCUGUGAAGGUGCUGCAUGGUUGUCGUCAGCUCGUGCCGUGAGGUGUCGGCUUAAGUGCCAUAACGAGCGCAACCCUUAUCUUUAGUUACUAACAGGUUAUGCUGAGGACUCUAGAGAGACUGCCGUCGUAAGAUGUGAGGAAGGUGGGGAUGACGUCAAAUCAGCACGGCCCUUACGUCCGGGGCUACACACGUGUUACAAUGGGGGGGUACAGAAGGCAGCUAGCGGGUGACCGUAUGCUAAUCCCAAAAUCCUCUCUCAGUUCGGAUCGAAGUCUGCAACCCGACUUCGUGAAGCUGGAUUCGCUAGUAAUCGCGCAUCAGCCACGGCGCGGUGAAUACGUUCCCGGGCCUUGUACACACCGCCCGUCAAGCCAUGGGAGCCGGGGGUACCUGAAGUACGUAACCGCAAGGAUCGUCCUAGGGUAAAACUGGUGACUGGGGCUAAGUCGU